AGUCCUAGUGGCCUCUCUCCUGCAUUCUAUCAUUUGGAUCACCAUUACUUAAAUCUGCCUUUACUUUUGACUUAAUAAGGUGAACUAACCUGAGCACAGCCUUUGGCUCCUGUCUUCCUCCAUCCAAAUGCUUGAACUGCAGAACAUAAAAUUCUUGAGAAAUGAUCUCAUUAUCCAUUCACUUACUAAAGAAAAAUACUGUCAUUGAGAUCUCAGAGAAAUGGCCUGUCUACUUAGCCUACAAUUUGUUUAUUAUGCACAGUAAUCUCCUUAUUUAUUCUGAUUGAAAGCAAUGUUACCUAUCAUUGUAAACAUCAUAAAGAACAGGAUUGAAAGGAUUUUGGUAUACUGAUCCCAGCUCACACUUGAUGCAUGUUGUGUGUUGAGGUAUAGAGUUCAAGUACCAUUUGGUCUCAAUAUCUUGUUGAGGAGAUAAAUGAAACAAGAUAAAAACCAUUCAGUGGGCUCUUUCCGCACAGAAAAGCACACAGCCUGUUAUGGAAUAAAGAAUUUGUAGCUGAACUGUUCUACCCAACGAGGUCAUGAAUUAUCACAAUCUGGGGAAAAGGACAAUUUCUGGUGAAAAUUAUAAAAUUGCUGACUUCCUGACUAAGAUUCCAGGAAAUCUGAGAUUUGACACUCCUAUCAGAAGCUAAGGAGAGCACAGGGGAAGUACACAGGCAAUAUAUAAGCUUUCUCUACAGAGUUUCAAAAAUCCUGAAGCAAAGAACGUGAUAACUCCUAAAAUUCCUGUUGUCACACCUGUAUGGGAAAUGUUUAAUGGUGGUUGUUUCUUAAAGAAAGAAAAGAGUGUACACAUGAGU